rnacentral:ncRNA from 1 species
CUUUUUAUUAACUUCCAGUAAGCUUACACAUGCAAGAAUCUGCACCCCAGUGAAAAUGCCCUCCUCAUCUAAUCUAGAUAAAAGGAGCAGGAAUCAAGCACGCUUAACUUUAGCAGCUCAUGACACCUUGCAAAGCCACACCCCCACGGGAUACAGCAGUGAUUAAAAUUAAGCUAUAAAUGAAAAUUUGACUAAGCUAUACUGCUCUAAGGGUUGGUAAAUUUCRUGCCAGCCACCGCGGUCAUACGAUUAACCCUAGUUAAUAAAUUUACGGUGUAAAGUGUGUUUAAGGCCAUAAUUACAAUAAGGUUAAGACUNAACUAAGCUGUAAAAAGCCCCUAGCUCCAGUAAAAACCUGCUACGAAAGUAACCUUAGUAAUCCUGAAAACACGACAGCUAAGACCUAAACUGGGAUUAGAUACCCCACUAUACUUAGCCCUAAACAUAAAUUUUCAUAUAACAAGAAAAUUCGCCAGAGUACUACUAGCCAAAGCUAAAAACUCAAAGAACUUGGCGGUGCUUUACAUCCCUCUAGAGGAGCCUGUUCUAUAAUCGAUAAACCCCGAUACACCUCACCACCUUUUGCUAAAUCAGCCUAUAUACCGCCAUCUUCAGCAAACCCUCACAAGGAAUAACAGUAAGCAGGAGCAUUUUACAUUAAAACGUUAGGUCAAGGUGUAGCCUAUAAGGUGGAAAGAAAUGGGCUACAUUUUCUAAUACUAGAACACCCCUACAACAGUUUUUAUGAAACUAAAAACUCAAGGCGGAUUUAGUAGUAAGCUGAAAAUAGAGUGUUUAGCUGAAUAGGGCCAUAAAGCGCGC